rnacentral:rRNA from 1 species
UUCUCGAAUUUAAAAGAGUUAAUUAAUUAAAAAAUUUAUUGUAGCAAAAAUAUUUUUCAUAAUUAAUUAGAAAUGAAAUGUUAAUCGUUUUUAAAUAUAUCUAGUUUUUUUAGAAAAAAAUUUAAUUUUAAAUUAAAUUAAUUAAAAAAUUAAUUAAAAAAUUUUUUAAAAUUUAAAUUUAAUAUUUUAAGGGAUAAGCUUUAAUUUAAAAUAUUUAUAAUUAAAUAUUAAAUUUUUUGAAAAUUUUAAAAUUUAUAUUGUUUAAAAAUUAUAAUUUUUUAUAAAUAAUUUCAUAAAAAAUAAAAUUUAAUUUUAAUUUAAUUUUUUAUAAAAAAAUAAAAUUAAAAAAAAUAAUUUUAGUUAUAAUGAUAAAAUUAGUAUAUAAAUUUUAUUUAAUUAAUAUUAUAAAAUAUUUUUAAAUGAAAAAUUAAUUAUAAGGAAUUCGGCAAAAAUUUAUAUUCACUUGUUUAUCAAAAACAUGUCUUUUUGAAAUAAUUUAAAGUCUAAUCUGCCCACUGAUGAAAAUUGAAGGGCUGCAGUAUUUUGACUGUACAAAGGUAGCAUAAUCAUUAGUCUCUUAAUUGGUGACUUGUAUGAAAGAUUGGAUGAGAUAUAAGCUGUCUUAUUUUUAUUUAUAGAAUUUAAUUUUUU